GUUCCUAUGAAUUCUUUGGUCUUGGUGCCACACAUGCUGGACAAGAUGGAAGUUCUUGUGAUGGCACACAAACUGCUGCUCUGAUCGAUGAUGUGCUGUUAGACUGCCGUUUGCCUUAUCUAGGUUCCACGAGGAGGUCCAGGUCACCAUAUUCAGACGGUAAUAGCAGUCAGUACACCUCCUUCAGUGAUCUCUCGGGCUCAUCCACUUUAUUUGACACGCCAUGCGUGAAGCCUGGACCUAUAGGCUCACGUGGGAGAGGAGGAGAUACUGCUGCGAUAUGUAGAAUGAAAAGCAGAGGGAUUUUCAGAUCGGGAGGAGCAGUUAACAUCCAGAACUUUUAUUCAAACAUGCCGCUACCGGCAUCUCAUGGC
ensembl:lncRNA